UACGGAGGAUCCAAGCGUUAUCCGGAAUUACUGGGCGUAAAGAGUUGCGUAGGCGGUCAAUCAAGCAGGGCAUGAAAUAGUGUGGCUCAACCAUACUGCUAUGUUCUGAACUGUUUGACUAGAGGAUGAGAGAGGUUAUUGGAAUUCCCAGUGUAGGAGUGAAAUCCGUAGAUAUUGGGAGGAACACCGAUGGCGUAGGCAGAUAACUGGCUCAUUCCUGACGCUCAGGCACGAAAGCGUGGGUAGCAAA
rnacentral:rRNA from 1 species